GGGGCUGUAGCUCAGCUGGGAGAGCGCUAGAUCCGCACUCUAGAGGUCUGGGGUUCGAUCCCCCACAGCUCCACCG
rnacentral:tRNA from 1 species